AUUGAACGCUGGCGGUAGGCCUAACACAUGCAAGUCGAACGAGUGGCGGACGGGCGAGGAAUACAUCGGAAUCUACUCUGUCGUGGGGGAUAACGUAGGGAAACUUACGCUAAUACCGCAUACGCUUGAAUGAGCCGACGUCGGAUUAGCUAGUUGGCGGGGUAAAGGCCCACCAAGGCGACGAUCCGUAGCUGGUCUGCGAGGAUGAUCAGCCACAAUGGAACUGAGACACGGUCCAGACUCCUACGGGAGGCAGCAGUGGGGAAUAUUGGACAAUGGGCGAAAGCCUGAUCCAGCCAUGCCGCGUGGGUGAAGAAGGCCUUCGGGUUGUAAAGCACUUUUGUUAGGAAAGCGGUACCCAAAGAAUAAGCAACGGCUAACUUCGUGCCAGCCGCCGCGGUAAUAC
rnacentral:rRNA from 1 species